GCGUCAGCCGCCGCGGUAAUACGUAGGUGGCAAGCGUUGUCCGGAAUUAUUGGGCGUAAAGCGCGCGUAGGCGGUUUUUUAAGUCUGAUGUGAAAGCCCACGGCUGAACCGUGGAGGGUCAUUGGAAACUGGAAAACUUGAGUGCAGAAGAGGAAAGAGGAAUUCCAUGUGUAGCGGUGAAAUGCGCAGAGAUAUGGAGGAACACCAGUGGCGAAGGCGUCUCUCUGGUCUGUAACUGACGCUGAGGAGCGAAAGCGUGCGGAGCGAACAGGAUUAGAAACCCCAGUAGUCC
rnacentral:rRNA from 1 species